AUAUUGCACAAUGGGGGAAACCCUGAUGCAGCGACGCCGCGUGAGUGAAGAAGUAACUCGUUAUGUAAAGCUCUAUCAGUAGGGAAGAAAGUGACGGUACCUGAGUAAGAAGCCCCGGCUAACUACGUGCCAGCAGCCGCGGUAAUACGUAGGGGGCAAGCGUUAUCCGGAUUUCCUGGGUGUAAAGGGAGCGUAGACGGAGAAGCAAGUCUGGAGUGAAAGCCCGGGGCUCAACCCCGGGACUGCUUUGGAAACUGUUUUUCUUGAGUGCCGGAGAGGUAAGCGGAAUUCCUAGUGUAGCGGUGAAAUGCGUAGAUAUUAGGAGGAACACCAGUGGCGAAGGCGGCUUACUGGACGGUAACUGACGUUGAGGCUCGAAAGCGUGGGGAGCAAACA
rnacentral:rRNA from 1 species